AAGCGUAGCGAUACGUUGAGCUAACCAGUACUAAUGAACCGUGAGGCUUAACCUGACAACACCAAAGGUGUUUUG
rnacentral:rRNA from 2 species